GGGUUGUGAGGUUAAGCGACUAAGCGUACACGGUGGAUGCCCUGGCAGUCAGAGGCGAUGAAGGACGUGCUAAUCUGCGAUAAGCGUCGGUAAGGUGAUAUGAACCGUUAUAACCGGCGAUUUCCGAAUGGGGAAACCCAGUGUGUUUCGACACACUAUCAUUAACUGAAUCCAUAGGUUAAUGAGGCGAACCGGGGGAACUGAAACAUCUAAGUACCCCGAGGAAAAGAAAUCAACCGAGAUUCCCCCAGUAGCGGCGAGCGAACGGGGAGCAGCCCAGAGCCUGAAUCAGUGUGUGUGUUAGUGGAAGCGUCUGGAAAGGCGCGCGAUACAGGGUGACAGCCCCGUACACAAAAAUGCACAUGCUGUGAGCUCGAUGAGUAGGGCGGGACACGUGGUAUCCUGUCUGAAUAUGGGGGGACCAUCCUCCAAGGCUAAAUACUCCUGACUGACCGAUAGUGAACCAGUACCGUGAGGGAAAGGCGAAAAGAACCCCGGCGAGGGGAGUGAAAAAGAACCUGAAACCGUGUACGUACAAGCAGUGGGAGCACGCUUCGGCGUGUGACUGCGUACCUUUUGUAUAAUGGGUCAGCGACUUAUAUUCUGUAGCAAGGUUAACCGAAUAGGGGAGCCGAAGGGAAACCGAGUCUUAACUGGGCGUUAAGUUGCAGGGUAUAGACCCGAAACCCGGUGAUCUAGCCAUGGGCAGGUUGAAGGUUGGGUAACACUAACUGGAGGACCGAACCGACUAAUGUUGAAAAAUUAGCGGAUGACUUGUGGCUGGGGGUGAAAGGCCAAUCAAACCGGGAGAUAGCUGGUUCUCCCCGAAAGCUAUUUAGGUAGCGCCUCGUGAAUUCAUCUCCGGGGGUAGAGCACUGUUUCGGCAAGGGGGUCAUCCCGACUUACCAACCCGAUGCAAACUGCGAAUACCGGAGAAUGUUAUCACGGGAGACACACGGCGGGUGCUAACGUCCGUCGUGAAGAGGGAAACAACCCAGACCGCCAGCUAAGGUCCCAAAGUCAUGGUUAAGUGGGAAACGAUGUGGGAAGGCCCAGACAGCCAGGAUGUUGGCUUAGAAGCAGCCAUCAUUUAAAGAAAGCGUAAUAGCUCACUGGUCGAGUCGGCCUGCGCGGAAGAUGUAACGGGGCUAAACCAUGCACCGAAGCUGCGGCAGCGACGCUUAUGCGUUGUUGGGUAGGGGAGCGUUCUGUAAGCCUGUGAAGGUGUACUGUGAGGUAUGCUGGAGGUAUCAGAAGUGCGAAUGCUGACAUAAGUAACGAUAAAGCGGGUGAAAAGCCCGCUCGCCGGAAGACCAAGGGUUCCUGUCCAACGUUAAUCGGGGCAGGGUGAGUCGACCCCUAAGGCGAGGCCGAAAGGCGUAGUCGAUGGGAAACAGGUUAAUAUUCCUGUACUUGGUGUUACUGCGAAGGGGGGACGGAGAAGGCUAUGUUGGCCGGGCGACGGUUGUCCCGGUUUAAGCGUGUAGGCUGGUUUUCCAGGCAAAUCCGGAAAAUCAAGGCUGAGGCGUGAUGACGAGGCACUACGGUGCUGAAGCAACAAAUGCCCUGCUUCCAGGAAAAGCCUCUAAGCAUCAGGUAACAUCAAAUCGUACCCCAAACCGACACAGGUGGUCAGGUAGAGAAUACCAAGGCGCUUGAGAGAACUCGGGUGAAGGAACUAGGCAAAAUGGUGCCGUAACUUCGGGAGAAGGCACGCUGAUAUGUAGGUGAAGUCCCUCGCGGAUGGAGCUGAAAUCAGUCGAAGAUACCAGCUGGCUGCAACUGUUUAUUAAAAACACAGCACUGUGCAAACACGAAAGUGGACGUAUACGGUGUGACGCCUGCCCGGUGCCGGAAGGUUAAUUGAUGGGGUUAGCCGCAAGGCGAAGCUCUUGAUCGAAGCCCCGGUAAACGGCGGCCGUAACUAUAACGGUCCUAAGGUAGCGAAAUUCCUUGUCGGGUAAGUUCCGACCUGCACGAAUGGCGUAAUGAUGGCCAGGCUGUCUCCACCCGAGACUCAGUGAAAUUGAACUCGCUGUGAAGAUGCAGUGUACCCGCGGCAAGACGGAAAGACCCCGUGAACCUUUACUAUAGCUUGACACUGAACAUUGAGCCUUGAUGUGUAGGAUAGGUGGGAGGCUUUGAAGUGUGGACGCCAGUCUGCAUGGAGCCGACCUUGAAAUACCACCCUUUAAUGUUUGAUGUUCUAACGUUGACCCGUAAUCCGGGUUGCGGACAGUGUCUGGUGGGUAGUUUGACUGGGGCGGUCUCCUCCUAAAGAGUAACGGAGGAGCACGAAGGUUGGCUAAUCCUGGUCGGACAUCAGGAGGUUAGUGCAAUGGCAUAAGCCAGCUUGACUGCGAGCGUGACGGCGCGAGCAGGUGCGAAAGCAGGUCAUAGUGAUCCGGUGGUUCUGAAUGGAAGGGCCAUCGCUCAACGGAUAAAAGGUACUCCGGGGAUAACAGGCUGAUACCGCCCAAGAGUUCAUAUCGACGGCGGUGUUUGGCACCUCGAUGUCGGCUCAUCACAUCCUGGGGCUGAAGUAGGUCCCAAGGGUAUGGCUGUUCGCCAUUUAAAGUGGUACGCGAGCUGGGUUUAGAACGUCGUGAGACAGUUCGGUCCCUAUCUGCCGUGGGCGCUGGAGAACUGAGGGGGGCUGCUCCUAGUACGAGAGGACCGGAGUGGACGCAUCACUGGUGUUCGGGUUGUCAUGCCAAUGGCACUGCCCGGUAGCUAAAUGCGGAAGAGAUAAGUGCUGAAAGCAUCUAAGCACGAAACUUGCCCCGAGAUGAGUUCUCCCUGACCCUUUAAGGGUCCUGAAGGAACGUUGAAGACGACGACGUUGAUAGGCCGGGUGUGUAAGCGCAGCGAUGCGUUGAGCUAACCGGUACUAAUGAACCGUGAGGCUUAACCUUACAACGCCGAAG
rnacentral:rRNA from 1 species